GUCUCCGUGGCGCAAUUGGUUAGCGCGUUCGACUGUUACGUGAUACUGUCAUCGAGAGGUUGACAGUUCAAUCCUGUCCGGGGACG
rnacentral:tRNA from 1 species